rnacentral:rRNA from 1 species
GGGUCAGUAGGUUGGUCGUGCCACCGGUACGUACUGGUCUCACCGAUUCCUCCUUCCUGAAGAACCGUAAUACCAUUAAUUUGGUGUUGCGGGGAAACAGGACUGUUACUUUGAAAAAAUUAGAGUGUUUAAAGCAAGCUAACGCCUGAAUACAUUAGCAUGGAAUAAUGAAAUAGGACGAUCGAUCCUAUUUUGUUGGUUUCUAGGAUUGACGUA